ensembl:lncRNA
GUAAUUUAGGAUUAUAAUGAAUCCAGAUUCAUAAGUGGAAAAAAUACUGCGACGGCACAAUGAAUUAUAAGUUGAUGGCCUUGUGCAGGAGAUAUAUGCGCGCGGUGCGUGACCUUCCUGAUCGCUUUCACCGCUUAUGAGAAGAUUUCUCUUCAUUGUGAAUUACAGGCACUAAAACAUAAAUAUUCCUAACUUCUCAAAACGCAAUAAGCGCACGGAAAGGUUGAGAGACAGACGAGCAGCCGAUUUAUGUCCACAUCGGUGAAUAUUGAGUCUACAUGUCUCUCAUGCUUGACUUGUGUCAGCGCCAGAACCGUAUUUGCUAAAAGCAAUGGCUUCAUUCGCUGCUUCGGCUGAAAAAAAAAAAAGCUGUCCUUCAUUCUGUAACUCCAUAAAGUAUAGUAGUAAGUAUUAAAAAAAAAAACACACAAACUAUUAAACGAAGCAGCGUGCGAAUUUCUGGCCAAUAGUAGAUCGUGUAAAUAACAAAUCAUGUAUAAAUUAAACUGAUGUUGCUGUAUUGACAUGACUACGUAAAUAAAAUGAAAUAGUUCUUUCAGUUUACACACACCGGGUGAUUCGGCUGUAGAGAUCCAAUAGAGACGGGGGAAAUUCUCUGCUUGUUGAAGGAUAUUAUUCGUUAAUUGAUUCAUCCAUUCAUCUUCAGUGAGCAGUUUAUCCCAGGAAAAGUGCACAUGAGAACGGCACGUGGGAAAACGAUGUGGAUGGGAGCUGCACUGCUAGCACAUCACACGGUACCAUACACACCUAGGUGCAAUUUAGAGUCACCAGUCCACCUACCAGCAUGGUUUUAGGAGGUGGGAGGAAAUCUGGAACACUUAGGAAACACACACAGGUACAGGUAGAGCAUGUGAAACCGAGCUGACACUGGGUCACGAGCAGAAUCUGACACUGGGACACAAGCAGAAUCUGACACUGGUUCACGAACAGAAUCUAACACUGGUUCACGAGCAGAAUCUGACACUGGUCCACGAACAGAAUCUGACACUGGUUCACGAGCAGAAUCUGACACCGGUUCACGAGCAGAAUCUGACACCGGUUCACGAGCAGAAUCUGACACCGGUUCACGAGCAGAAUCUGACACUGGUUCACGAGCAGAAUCUGACACCGGGAGUCGAGUAGAAUCUGACACCGGGAGUCGAGUAGAAUCUGACACUGGUUCACGAACAGAAUCUGACACCGGUUCACGAGCAGAAUCUGACACCGGUCCACGAACAGAAUCUGACACCGGGACACGAGUAGAAUCUGACACUGGUUCACGAACAGAAUCUGACACUGGUUCACGAACAGAAUCUGACACUGGUUCACGAACAGAAUCUGACACUGGUUCACGAGCAGAAUCUGACACUGGUUGACGAACAGAAUCUGACACUGGUUCACGAGCAGAAUCUGACACCG